rnacentral:rRNA from 1 species
UACGAAGGGGGCUAGCGUUGUUCGGAUUUACUGGGCGUAAAGCGCACGUAGGCGGAUCGUUAAGUCGGGGGUGAAAUCCUGGAGCUCAACUCCAGAACUGCCUUUGAUACUGGGGAUCUCGAGUCCGGAAGAGGUGAGUGGAACUCCGAGUGUAGAGGUGAAAUUCGUAGAUAUUCGGAAGAACACCAGUGGCGAAGGCGGCUCACUGGUCCGGUACUGACGCUGAGGUGCGAAAGCGUGGGGAGCAAACAGG